AGAGUUUGAUCCUGGCUCAGGAUGAACGCUGGCGGCGUGCCUAACACAUGCAAGUCGAGCGAUUUACUUCGGUAAAGAGCGGCGGACGGGUGAGUAACGCGUGGGUAACCUGCCCUGUACACACGGAUAACAUACCGAAAGGUAUGCUAAUACGAGAUAAUAUGCUUUUAUCGCAUGGUAGAAUUAUCAAAGCUUUUGCGGUACAGGAUGGACCCGCGUCUGAUUAGCUAGUUGGUAAGGUAACGGCUUACCAAGGCGACGAUCAGUAGCCGACCUGAGAGGGUGAUCGGCCACAUUGGAACUGAGACACGGUCCAAACUCCUACGGGAGGCAGCAGUGGGGAAUAUUGCACAAUGGGCGAAAGCCUGAUGCAGCAACGCCGCGUGAGCGAUGAAGGCCUUCGGGUCGUAAAGCUCUGUCCUCAAGGAAGAUAAUGACGGUACUUGAGGAGGAAGCCCCGG
rnacentral:rRNA from 1 species